AGUGAGGUCAGCUAACCAAGCUCUUGGGCCCAUACCCCAGACAUGUGGGUUGAACCCCCUCCCCCACUA
rnacentral:tRNA from 1 species